rnacentral:rRNA from 1 species
UACGUAGGGUGCAAGCGUUAUCCGGAAUUAUUGGGCGUAAAGAGCUCGUAGGCGGUUUGUCGCGUCUGCUGUGAAAACUGGGGCUCAACCCCCAGCCUGCAGUGGGUACGGGCAGACUAGAGUGCGGUAGGGAGAUUGGAAUUCCUGGUGUAGCGGUGGAAUGCGCAGAUAUCAGGAGGAACACCGAUGGCGAAGGCAGAUCUCUGGGCCGUAACUGACGCUGAGGAGCGAAAGGCAUGGGGAGCGAACAGG